UACGUAGGGACCGAGCGUUGUCCGGAAUCAUUGGGCGUAAAGAGCUCGUAGGCGGUUCGGUAAGUCAGGUGUGAAACCUCCAGGCUCAACCUGGAGACGCCACCUGAUACUGCUGUGACUCGAGUCCGGUAGGGGAGCGUGGAAUUCCUGGUGUAGCGGUGAAAUGCGCAGAUAUCAGGAGGAACACCAGCGGCGAAGGCGGCGCUCUGGGCCGGAACUGACGCUGAGGAGCGAAAGCGUGGGUAGCAAACAGG
rnacentral:rRNA from 1 species